UACAGAGGUCUCAAGCGUUGUUCGGAUUCAUUGGGCGUAAAGGGUGCGUAGGCGGCGCGGUAAGUCGGGUGUGAAAUCUCGGAGCUUAACUCCGAAACUGCAUUCGAUACUGCCGUGCUUGAGGACUGGAGAGGAGAGUGGAAUUCCUGGUGUAGCGGUGAAAUGCGCAGAUAUCAGGAAGAACACCCGUGGCGAAGGCGGCUCUCUGGGACGGUACUGACGCUGAGACGCGAAAGCGUGGGGAGCGAACGGG
rnacentral:rRNA from 1 species